AUGCUUGUCUCAAAGAUUAAGCCAUGCAUGUCUAAGUAUAAAUGACUUUAUACAGUGAAACUGCGAAUGGCUCAUUACAUCAGUUAUAGUUUAUUUGAUAAUACCUUACUACUUGGAUAACCGUAGUAAUUCUAGAGCUAAUACAUGCUAAAAGUCCCGACUAUUUUGGAAGGGAUGCAUUUAUUAGAUACAAAACCAAUGCGUUUGGGCAACCAGACGGAUUAAUUGGUGAUUCAUAAUAACUUUGCGAAUCGCAUGGCCUUGCGCUGGCGAUGAUUCACUCAAAUUUCUGCCCUAUCAACUUGUCGGUAAGAUAGAGGCUUACCGAGGUUUCAACGGGUAACGGGGAAUA
rnacentral:rRNA from 1 species